GCUGAAGUGGCGAAACUGGCAGACGCACAGGACUUAAAAUCCUGCGGUACUAAAAUACCGUACCGGUUCGAGUCCGGUCUUCAGCACCA
rnacentral:tRNA from 5 species